GAAGAACCCUGUCAGGAAACACUCUCAUUAUUUCAUACUCAAUUCCUCUAGAACGUUGAGAGCUACGACCCAAUCCUGAACCCUGUCCUAUCCUAGACGACAACAGAAUCAUUACUGAGCUUGAGACUCUUAAGGAAGAGGCUGCAGAAGUUCAGAGGAAGAUGGAGGAGACUGAUACUGUAAUGGCUGAAGUUGACAGAGUCUCCCAGCAAUACCUGCCACUCUCCACCUCCUGCUCUGCCAUGUACUUCACUCUGGAGUCACUCAAUCAGGCUGUGGACCUGAGGCUGAACUCAUCAUCUCAAGGACUGAUCUCUCAUUCAUAUACUGAAGAUCUAUAGACUGGGUUUAGGAACUAAGGACUGUAACACUAUAAGACUGGUUUAAUUAAUUAAAAUCAUUGUUGACUUGUACUCUACAUGUAUGACUGAAGUGUGUUUCUUAUU